AUCGCUUCUUGGCCUUUUGGUUAAGAUCAAGUGUAGUAUCUGUUCUUAUCAAGAACUUGGAUCCCUACCACCUAUGUGGGAGACCUGGAGUUCCCAGCUUCUGGCCUAGCCAGGCCCAUUCUUGACUGUCACAGGUCUUUGGGGAGUGAACCAUGGUAUGAGAGAUUUCUGUUUCUCUCUCUGCCUUUCAAAAU
ensembl:snRNA U2 U2 spliceosomal RNA